rnacentral:lncRNA from 1 species
ACAGAGUCAAACGGAAAGGGGGAGCACGGGCACAACCUAGCCAAUCAGACACCUCACGUGAUCAUUUCUUCCUAGUGUUUCAGCUAGGAGAAAUCCCCUUCUCAAGAAACAGAAGUCGCAAGGAAGAACUUCCCCCUUCAUCAAGGAGUCGUAGCAACUAUGUGUAAAUAAAUCUCAAGACCACCAGCUAUGUGUGAGGAGAGACUCACUCAGUGGUCUUUAACCACUGGGGACCCAGAGGGACUCAAAGGGCCCAUGCUGGUACCAAGGCACCGGGUCCUGGUGAUGUUUUGGACAACUCUGGGCAGUUGGCUUGGAGUUCCCUCAUGGUCACCAUGAUUGUUGACUAAAGGAGAAAAAAUCAAGCUUUCAAAUAACUAAAGUUAGUUUUAUUCUGAAGUCUUACUGAGGACUACAGAUUGAGGCCUAUAGCCUGGGAGCAGCUCUGUCAGGCUGCUCCAACACAGUGUUUCAGCUCACUGCUUGUGUACAGAGUGGGGGCUUAAUAUGCACAAGAGCACAUCAAACAUGCUCGGGAGUGACAUUGAAGCAGAGUCCCGUCGAGGUCUGGUGGUAGAGUACAUCUGCUUAUAGAUGACAGCGGCAUCAUCACGAACCCCUUCAGAAAACUGACACGAGCUCUGCUAAUGAUGGAGGUGUUGCCUGAGUCAUCCAAGCCAACCUGCUGUUUCCUAGACAUGAAAUUGCCGGGUUGCAGGACAAUGAAGCAUUUUGAAUAAGCGCUGCCAAACUACUUCCAAAAAGAGCUGCUGACUUCUACUACAGUACGGGCAUUCCUGUCUUCCCCAUCCCGCUAGGCAGGCUGUGGGAUUUGGGGCAGAGCCAUGGGGCUGUCUGUGAAACAGCUCCCGGUCCUGCACCUGGCUCUGCACUACGAGCGUCAUCCUCACGGCUUUUCCAGGCAUCCUGUGGGCGAUUUAUCUGAGUGUCAACAAAUGGAAAGAGGGUUCUGUGUGAGUUCCUGUCCUAUAGCAUGGAGUGUCAUGUUAAAGGACACUUUUUGUGCCGUUGUCUAAAUACAAAUGGCUGCAGGCAUUGAACUAAUGGACUUUGGACAGAGUCAAGCAACUCCAUAGUGAGGGACGAGGAGGCGACUUCCCCCACCUGGUUCUCGCCCUCCUGUCAGUCCUUGCUGGCCAGGGCCCAGUCCAUCGCAUUCUGCUCACCCACCUAACCUCCGCAGCUGGGCGGCCUUUCAUCCUGCUUGAUUGAAUGGUAUGAAAUUGCCUCUUUUUCGUCAAAACAGCCACCUGUCAGCAAUUCCGUGCAGUUCAACCAAAUUAUUGAAGUGCAGCUGAUGCUCAGUGUCAAUUUUCUCCGCACGCGGUUCCCUGGCCGAGCAGCCCCUCAGGGCCCAAGCAUGGGAAACAGAGGGGCCCUCCUUACAGCGGCCUUUCCUGACCAAGUGCAUCCUAACCUGAGCAGCUAGAGGGGCAGGGAGACCUCACCUUCCUCAUCCUUCUUCCUCUCCUCUGGAAAUAGCAGAACCUUC